GGUAUGAGGAGGUAAUUAAUAGACAAAGUUUAAACAUGAGUGUGGUCUUGGAUCCAUCUUUUCUGGGUUGGAAUGCCAAUUCUUUCAGCUUUUACUACCUGGGAAACUCUAGCCAAGUUACUCAAACAUUAUUUUCCCAACUGAAAAUAUAGAUUGCCUUGUUAAGUAAGUUAUUGGAUGUUUCUUUUUUUUUUUUUUUUUUUUGAGACGGAGUUUCACUCUUGUUACCCAGGCUGGAGUGCAAUGGCGCGAUCUUGGCUCACGGCAACCUCCGCCUCCUGGGUUCAGGCAAUUCUCCUGCCUCAGCCUCCUGAGUAGCUGGAAUUACAGGGAUGCGCCACCAUGCCCAGCUAGUUUUUUGCAUUUUUAGUAGAGACGGGGUUUCACCAUGUUGACUAGGAUGGUCUUGAUCUCUUGACCUCAUGAUCCACCCGCCUUGGCCUCCCAAAGUGCUGGGAUUACAGGCGUGAGCCACCGCGCCCAGCCGUUGAGCCACCGCGCCCAGCCGUUGAGCCACCACGCCCGGCCGUUGGAUGUUUCUAAAGUCAUUUCUAUGCCUGAGACAGAAUGACAAGCAUGUCACUACAGCUGUACCUGGCCCUGUGCUUGGGAUACCCUGUGUAUGGCUGGUGUGUUGCUUUCGUGCUCCAACAGUUUUUUCCUACUGGAUUCUUAAAAAACAAACUGGGAGUUAGUUAUUGACAGCCCCCAAAAAGCAUAUCCUUAGGGAUGUUCUGGGCUGGCAGCUGGGAUGGGGGCCUACUAGCCAUAGCUUGGACUCAGACACAAGUUCCAUGUCUUCAGAGCCAGCAGCCACCUGUUCCCACAGACUCUGCCAUGAUUCCUCACACAAAUAUGGAUACAGGGGAAGACAGAAGUCCUGGAAGGCAAUCUACCCAGCUCUUCCCUUCAUGUGAGAAAACACCCAUUCCUCAAGACAAACAAUACCAGGGCAGCAAGAUCCAAAGAGCUUUUGGGAGCUAAGCAGAAAUUUUACCAGAUGUGACCUGGAGCUGGGGUAAAAAGUGAGGGCUGCCUAGCCUGCCACUGCAUGAGGAGGGCCAGUUCAGGGCUUUAAUUCCUCUUCCAGAGACGUCCAGCCCUCCACCUGCUGGAAACAGGAAGAUAACUCAAUGAAACAGUUCAGUGAAGGUCUAUACAUACACUGGAUCUUGGGAAAGUUGUGAUUUUUAGAGUCUCUGAAGAUAACCCCAUUACUCUAUGUUCACAUAAAAAAUGAUCACUGUUCUUUCAUGAUCAUUGGUUUUCAUAUAGUUGUUAUUAUAAAUAACUGAAACACCAUUAAAGAAAUCUGCCCACAGAAUAAAAUUCAGAUUAUCACUGUAGAGUCAUCCUUUAAGAAUAUUGCUAAUACUUCUCUUUGUCUCUAGUGAAGUCAGCUCUAUGUUUGGAAACAAGAUUUCAAAAGCUAAGAGACAUGUAUAUUCAUUUCCAAACCUCUAAUACUUUUCUCACUUUCUGAAAAUCUCUGGGGUAGGAGUGUAUGAGUAAAAUAAAUGGAGAUUAAAUGUAAGCACAGGUAUACUCCAAUGGGAGAGAAAAAUUCACAUUUCAUUUGGCAUCAUAGAGAGAACAAAAUAGGAAGAAAGAGAGAGACCAAUUUAUCUGAGAAAUGAUGUCAGAGCUAUUUGUGGAAGCAGGUGAAUUGAUAUAUAAGAAGUUGCAUCUACUGACCAGUCGGUGGCAAUUUAAACCAUCUGUAGGGGUGAAUCAGAUAGACUGUUACGAGAUAAAGGGGUAGAAGAACCAACAAGAGCAUCAGCAGGUUGCCUCAGGAGGGCCUGCUGGGGGAGUAACCGGAAGUAGGUCAGCAGGUGAUGGAGAAAUCAAAUGGACAGUGGUGUCAUCCUCGCAAAACUAAGAAGAACCUCAUUACAUGUCAACAUGAGAUUGUGGUAUAGACAGCAGAUAUAAAUACUCUGAUUAUUGGUGUAGGCAAGCUAGACGUCAUGCAUUUUAAUAAGCUGUAUUUCCUUGCACAAGCACUUUUUAAAAUAUAGUAACUAGGUCUCCAAAGGGGAAAAAAAAGAGAUUGUAUUUUCACAGUGAUUAUGUUGUUUGUUAAUAAUGUGAUUUUCCCCUGCCUCUCUUCUUGACUUCAAUCUCAUCCACCUUCUAAAUAUAAAAAGGACAUCCUCUGAUCUUGUUAGAAAAGAUUACAGAUGUUUGUCUCAUUCAUGUUCAGGCUGUGUUUAAAAUAAAGAAAAAAUGUAGGCCGGGCGCGGUGGCUCAAGCCUGUAAUCCCAGCACUUUGGGAGGCCGAGGCGGGUGGAUCACGAGGUCAACAGAUCGAGACCAUCCUGGUCAACAUGGUGAAACCCCGUCUCUACUAAAAAUUACAAAAAAAAUUAGCUGGGCACGGUGGCGCGUGCCUGUAAUCCCAGCUACUCAGGAGGCUGAGGCAGGAGAAUUGCCUGAACCCAGGGGGCGGAGGUUGCGGUGAGCCGAGAUCGCGCCAUUGCACUCCAGCCUGGGUUAACGAGAGCGAAACUCCGUCUCAAAAAAAAAAAAAGAAAAAAUGUAAAGAGAGAGCAGAGUUUAAUGUAGAUGACGUGGUCCUUCUAGGCUGCCCAAAAUCCUUGCCCUGGGUGUGCACCUCACAGUAGCAUGGGGCUCGAUGCCACACGAGGCUACAGAAUAAAGCAUGAGGUGCUGAAAAGAGACUUCAUAGUGCCAACAGCUCAAGGUUUAUAAGAAAACAUAUCAGCCAUUAACCACUUAUUUUCCUGAGCCUUAGUUAUUUGUUGAGCACCUAAUAUGCUCAAGGCUUGCA
rnacentral:lncRNA from 1 species